UAGCUCAGUUGGUAGAGCAUGGUGUUUGUUUGCAACGCCAGGGUUGUGGGUUUGAUUCCCAC
rnacentral:tRNA from 1 species